rnacentral:rRNA from 1 species
UACAGAGGUCUCAAGCGUUGUCCGGAUUUAUUGGGCGUAAAGAGCGUGUAGGCGGCCAGGUAGGUCUGCUGUGAAAACUCGAGGCUUAACCUCGAGCUGUCGGCGGAAACCAUCUGGCUAGAGUCCGGAAGAGGAGAAUGGAAUUCCCGGUGUAGCGGUGAAAUGCGCAGAUAUCGGGAAGAACACCCGUGGCGAAGGCGGUUCUCUGGGACGGUACUGACGCUGGAGACGCGAAAGCGUGGGGAGCGAACAGG